rnacentral:rRNA from 1 species
UACAGAGGGUGCAAGCGUUAAUCGGAAUUACUGGGCGUAAAGCGUGCGCAGGCGGUUUUGUAAGUCUGUCGUGAAAGCCCCGGGCUCAACCUGGGAAUUGCGAUGGAGACUGCAAGGCUUGAAUCUGGCAGAGGGGGGUAGAAUUCCACGUGUAGCAGUGAAAUGCGUAGAGAUGUGGAGGAACACCGAUGGCGAAGGCAGCCCCCUGGGUCAAGAUUGACGCACAUGCACGAAAGCGUGGGGAGCAAACAGG